rnacentral:rRNA from 1 species
CAACCUGCCUAUAACUAGGGAAUAACCUUGCGAAAGUAAGACUAAUACCCUAUGAUUUCCUUUGAUGACAUCAGAUUAGGAAUAAAGAUUUAUCGGUUAUAGAUGGGGAUGCGUCUGAUUAGCUUGUUGGCGGGGUAACGGCCCACCAAGGCAACGAUCAGUAGGGGUUCUGAGAGGAAGGUCCCCCACAUUGGAACUGAGACACGGUCCAAACUCCUACGGGAGGCAGCAGUGAGGAAUAUUGGUCAAUGGGCGGAAGCCUGAACCAGCCAAGUAGCGUGCAGGAUGACGGCCCUAUGGGUUGUAAACUGCUUUUAUACAGGAAUAAAGUUAGCCACGUGUGGUUAUUUGUAGGUACUGUAUGAAUAAGGACCGGCUAAUUCCGUGCCAGCAGCCGCGGUAAUACGGAAGGUCCAGGCGUUAUCCGGAUUUAUUGGGUUUAAAGGGAGCGUAGGCCGUCUGUUAAGCGUGUUGUGAAAUGUAGGUGCUCAACAUCUGAAUUGCAGCGCGAACUGGCAGACUUGAGUGUGCGCAACGUAGGCGGAAUUCGUGGUGUAGCGGUGAAGUGCUUAGAUAUCACGAAGAACUCCGAUUG